rnacentral:rRNA from 1 species
CAGCAGCCACGGGAAUACGAAGGGUGCAAGCGUUAAUCGGAAUUACUGGGCGUAAAGCGCGCGUAGGUGGUUUGGUAAGAUGGAUGUGAAAUCCCCGGGCUCAACCUGGGAACUGCAUCCAUAACUGCCUGACUAGAGUACGGUAGAGGGUGGUGGAAUUUCCUGUGUAGCGGUGAAAUGCGUAGAUAUAGGAAGGAACACCAUUGGCGAAGGCGACCACCUGGACUGAUACUGACACUGAGGUGCGAAAGCGUGGGGAGCAAACAGGAUUAGAUACCCCAGUAGUCCCUGUCUCUUAUAC